GACGAACGCUGGCGGCGUGCUUAACACAUGCAAGUCGAACGGAAAGGCCCUGCUUGCAGGGUACUCGAGUGGCGAACGGGUGAGUAACACGUGGGUGAUCUGCCCUGCACUUCGGGAUAAGCCUGGGAAACUGGGUCUAAUACCGGAUAGGAGCCAUUUUUAGUGUGAUGGUUGGAAAGUUUUUUCGGUGUAGGAUGAGCUCGCGGCCUAUCAGCUUGUUGGUGGGGUAAUGGCCUACCAAGGCGGCGACGGGUAGGCGGCCUGAGAGGGUGGACGGCCACAUUGGGACUGAGAUACGGCCCAGACUCCUACGGGAGGCAGCAGUGGGGAAUAUUGCACAAUGGGCGCAAGCCUGAUGCAGCGACGCCGCGUGGGGGAUGACGGCCUUCGGGUUGUAAACUCCUUUCGCUAGGGACGAAGCUUUUUGUGACGGUACCUAGAUAAGAAGCACCGGCUAACUACGUG
rnacentral:rRNA from 1 species